rnacentral:lncRNA from 1 species
CCCACUUCAAAUAAAAAGUACCGAGGGAUGCAUUUCAUUACUGCCCUGUGACACUGGAGAAGCCAGGGCUGCAGUGGUAAUAUUCCUCAUUUGUUUGUGUCACAAAGAGGAUUUAUUUGCAGGAAGAGUACAACUCCAGAGAAAAUGAACAGUCAAUACAUACGUCACGAAGUGAGGGGAUGUGAAACCAGUGACCUGAGAAACUUCUGGGAAAAGACUAUUGAACAACAAACUCGGUAUCUGCAAAUUGAAAAAGAACGUCAGCAAAGAAGUGCCCUGACAAAGCAGUUUUCUGUAGUAUCUAGAUACUACCAGAAAAUAAAACAAACUUCCAGCUAUCAGCUAACAGUCAGUUAACCUGUAGUUAACUGAUCUAUCACCAAUUUCAACACGUGCAGUAUUUCUAAGCCGCAUAGUUCACAGGAGCCUCUAUACAGUUCUUUACUAAUGUGUUUCCGAGGAGGGGAACUGGGGAAACGUUGGGUGAUGCUACCCACCAGGUGGCAGCAGGCAAUCUCCAGUGGAGAUGACAAGUCACUCCGGCAAAAAGAGGCACUUGAGGGAGGACGACACGGGAUAUGAAGAUGAACCACAACGAUCAGGUGAGCCAGCAUUGAGAUUUAAGAACUAAUCCUGAACUUCCAUCCAGUAAAAUUCUCUACGUGGGCAGAACAGUUUUCAUGGCAACUGGGGAAAAGAUCGGUAUGAUAGCAUCAGUGGGAAAGAUGAAGAGUACAAAUCUGCUCCCUGUGAAAAAAAAAUGGGACAAUCUGACUAGAGUUUCUGUCUUUAGGCUCAGAAAUGAAUGGAUGGAGAGGCUGGAAAAACGGAUAAAGAUGUUGAGGACCCAACCUGAAGACCCAUCUAGCUGAAGAUCUACAUUCAUUGCAUGUAUGGGGAAAAAAGAAAAUAGUUUUGUAGGAGAGCAUGGUGGUGUGAUUCAAAAGCUCAAGUCAAUUUUAGUUUGUGGCUUACAUGAGCUACAAAUAAUUAGCUGUCUAUUAGAAGCUUCAUGUGUAAAAUGUGUAUUGCUGCUUUUAAUAUUAUGUAUCCAUCCCAUUAUUUGAUAAACAGAGAUUGAAGCACUCUGGAGUCUUCAAGACUAACGAAUCAUGGUUCACUGAGCUGUGGAUGCUUGGGAAAAAUACAGUUCAGCUACAUAGCGUUCAGCAAAAGCAUUUCCUGGACAUUUUAUUUUUCUCUCUCAACUGAUGGUAAUUUAAUGAAAUGGUUUUCUUUUUAAUGACUGGUUGAGUGUUUCUGGUUUUGUUUUUGUGCUUUAAAUACAGCAGAGCCCUUCUCAGACUAAGGAAGUGGGGACAUAUGUAAAAAUGCUAUCACAUACAAGAUCACAAGUAGUGUUCAAUUUGUUAGGUGUAACAUAUUCUUGCUUCUGUAUUAAAUACCUGUAAGGCCAUUAAUAAAUAUUCUGAGAAAUAGACUCUGUG